AGUGAACGCUGGCGGUAGGCCUAACACAUGUAAGUCGAACGGCAGCACAGUAAGAGCUUGCUCUUACGGGUGGCGAGUGGCGGACGGGUGAGGAAUACAUCGGAAUCUACUUUUUCGUGGGGGAUAACGUAGGGAAACUUACGCUAAUACCGCAUACGACCUACGGGUGAAAGCAGGGGAUCUUCGGACCUUGCGCGAUUGAAUGAGCCGAUGUCGGAUUAGCUAGUUGGCGGGGUAAAGGCCCACCAAGGCGACGAUCCGUAGCUGGUCUGAGAGGAUGAUCAGCCACACUGGAACUGAGACACGGUCCAGACUCCUACGGGAGGCAGCAGUGGGGAUUAUUGGACAAUGGGCGCAAGCCUGAUCCAGCCAUACCGCGUGGGUGAAGAAGGCCUUCGGGUUGUAAAGCCCUUUUGCUGGGAAAGAAAAGCAGCAGGUUAAUACCCCGCUGUUCUGACGGUACCCAAAGAAUAAGCACCGGCUAACUUCGUG
rnacentral:rRNA from 1 species